rnacentral:rRNA from 1 species
UCCGACCUCAGAUCGGACGAGAUUACCCGCUGAAUUUAAGCAUAUAACUAAGCGGAGGAAAAGAAACUAACAAGGAUUUCCCCAGUAACGGCGAGUGAAGCGGAAAAAGCCCAGCACCGAAUCCCUCAGUGUGAUGCUGACGGGAACUGUGGUGUGUGGGACGCCACCAGUCGCAUCAGCGGGCGCCGAAGUCCUCCUGAUCGGGGCUUCACCCAUAGCGGGUGUAAGGCCUUUGCAGGUGCCUCGCUGUGCGGCCGCGAGCGUCCUAGGAGUCGGGUUGUUUGGGAAUGCAGCCCAAAGUGGGUGGUAAACUCCAUCU